AUUUUAAUCAUUUUUUUUCCUAAAUCUAGACAUGUGUGUGUGUGUGUGUGUGUUUGUGUAUUGAUCUGUUGUUUAAUCGAAUCCUGAUUUUUUUUUUUUUCAUAUUUGAUGAAUACAUGACUCAUCUAUGCGAUUUUGAUGUUAAAGUUGGGCCAUAGGAGUUCAAUUUUUGAAGAGGAUGCCUACAAACAGGCUAGGGAUUUCAAUUUUGUUAAUGUAUUUACGAAAUUAGGGUUAGGACUUUGAUGUGUAGUACAAAACUGGGGUUAGGGUGGAGCAGCGACGCCAGUGAACCAGGUGUGGCAAGGCAUGAGUUUCAGUGAAGCUCUACUAUUCCGACAAGGUAUGAGUUUCAGACAGAGCAACGGUGGCACCGGAGGAGACUCGAGGAUUAAGAAGAGAAAUGUAAGAUUCUUCUACCUGUUUCUAUUUUUGUUGGUCUAAGUUACGAUUUUUAGAUCUUUUUUCAUUUUGUGUGGUUUCAGUCUAGCAUAUUUUAUUUUAUUUUAGUAUUUUUUUAUUUUUUUAUCGAUAACAUUUAUACAAAUUUCGCUGAUAUAUAUAUAUGUAUCGUUUUCUGUGCGUAUCGGCCUUGCCGACGUCGGAGGAGAAGUCCAGAAUUACCACCGCCAUUCGUCCCAGCCCUACACACCUCAACAGGCCUAGGGUGCGCGCGCUCUCUCUCUCAACACAACACUAACAUCACCUAACUAUAGGAAAAUAUCACUUGUUCACUGACUGAUAAGUGAAACAGAAUCGCAAAAAUAAGGAAGAGCUCUGAUUUCAAUUCUUGAUGGAGAAGAAGGCUACUGCAUUUCAACAAAGUAACAGGCUUCAUUAGGAACUGAUUGGACUCCCGACGGUGUCGAUCAUUCCGCAAGCGACCAGCGAAGAGGUUAGGGUUUUCAACCAGCGACCAUAAAUUGAAGUUGAAUCGAGCCACCAUGGACGACGUCCUCUAAAGUGGGUGCAAAAAGAGGACUAAGAGAGAGGAAUUGUAUUGAUGCUAACACAAGCUCAGUAAGAAAUAUGUGAAAAUUAUACAGGAUUGAUUAUCACCAGUUCAUUAGGAGCAGAAGAAUCAGAAUUUGUAUGAUUCCAUUCUAUAACAAAGCUACUUCAUUGGAUUUUGUAUAGUGAGCUGGUUUUUUGACAAGUGCAGACUGAACCUCAAGUGUUAGAAGGUUUAUCAAUUUUUCAACAGAAGUGUUAGGAAAUUGAUGAUUUUCUUGACAAAUAGAUUUACUUCCUGUUUUGGAACAUCGAUAAAUGUAGAAUUGUUUUGGCACAUUAAUAAAUGAUGAAUUGUAAAAAUAUUUUAACUCUUUUGAUAUGUUUAAUGGGAUAUGUUUUUUGAA